rnacentral:lncRNA from 1 species
UUCAAUAGGAAACGGCAGACCAAACUCUUCGACUCUUCCCUGAAGCCAAUCUUCAUACUGAGGGUAAGUCAUGCAGUCCCCCUUUCCAAGCACAGUUCUUCCUCUCUUGAUCACCUUGAGCCAGGCCUCAGCCGCCUUAUGGGAUACAAUCAGAUCAGAUGAAGAAUGGAAAAACAGAGAUUCUUCCACAUCUUUUUCCAAAGGCGGAGUUCUUAAAGCAUAUCCAAACUGUCUGACUGCUAGAGAAGGAUUAUAGUUGAUUCCUCCUCUUCUUCCAAUGGAAAAACAGAGAUUCUUCCACAUCUUUUUCCAAAGGCGGAGUUCUUAAAGCAUAUCCAAACUGUCUGACUGCUAGAGAAGGAUUAUAGUU